UUGCAUCCCUGGCAUCGCCAUCAUUGCAGACAAUUGACCUGUUGACUUCACUUCACAGUCCUGUGGUGUGUUGUUGAUUUUGGUUGGAUCAUACCCGAAAUCCCCCAGGUACGCCUUGUACUUGUCUAUGAAUGCCUCUCCUGGAUUAGGCGUCCUUGAGUAUAUCUUUAAAGUCCCAAUAAACCCAAUACAUAUAUCAGUCAGAUUGAAUAGAACAUACUACUAGCUACUAGUGGUGCUGUUAGAAAGCUUUUGAAGAACACAAAGCAAAAUGAGGCUAAGUGUAGUUGGUUGAUUUUACCUGAACAAAGCUUUUGUCUUUGGCACCAGAAACAAGAGCAAAGUUGUCAUAAUCAGUGGCGAUGACAUCAUAAGGCUCCUUGGGGAUGAAAGGAAGUGUUGGGAAACGAAGGUAGCAUUUCUCUCUGAUCAUCUCCAGUUUCUCAAGAUCGGUCUCGUUUUUCUCCAGAUCUUGGUC
rnacentral:lncRNA from 1 species